ACAAAUAAAAAAACAAAGAAAAAGAAAAAAGAAAAAAAAUCUAGUCAUCUGAAAACCCGCGAGUUUUUCGGUGACACCGGAAAUUUCAUGGGGGUCAAGGAAUCACGUCCCCGGCCCCCACAACUCACCCAAAUCUCCAGCCAAACACCAUCUAUGUCCUCGGCACGCUCCCAAAACACUUGCAUAAGAAAAACAUAGAGGAAAGAGGGAUAGAGAAGUUGGCGAAGUUUUCAAGCGAGGAUCCGAAAACGAAACCCAUGAACGAAACAACCCAAAACCGACGUCAAAACACCAAGUUACAUUGUGAAAGAGACCCCCAACACUGUACAACAACCCAAGGUCGUUUCAAGCCACGAAACUCCAAGAAAGGAAGGAGGGAAGACAAACAGAGAGGGAGAAGAAGGAAAAGGACAGAAAUCAGCAUUAGAAAUGACGAACAAAGAAGAGAUAAAUGUCGCCACAAAGUCGCAUAGGAAGUCGGGUAAGGAAGAAGAGAUCUAACGGAUCUGAUUCGAAUCUAUCCGUGACCCGAGGCCUAAAAACCGCUCGGCUCAGCCAAACCUAUAGCGGCCCAAGCUCGAGGUCCAAACUCACCUUCGUCCAGCUCGUUCUGAAACCCGCGCUACGACCCACGAACCAACCCAAGAACCCGAACAGGAUACUCGAGAACCCAAUCCAGCAGCCCAGCCCAAGUUCCCUCUGCCCACAACCCUUUUCGGUCCAGUAGCCGGAGGCCCAAGCUCAUUGUUAGAUAAAUCCCUAUUUUAAAGUUAAAUCACAAAAUUAAGUUGAGUGGAAUGACCACAUCCGGUCCAAUGAAGUUAAUUGAGUUGCCACUCCUAUCCAUUUUCAAAGUAGAAUUGUUAUUUAAAUAUGCCAAUAUAAUCAGAAAUAAAUCACUAGUAUUCAGUAUUCA